AUCUCUGGUUGGAGGUCCCUCCUUUGUGGAGUUGCCCUUAUGAGCCUAGAUCUUCAGAGACAGGGGAAUGGGACCAGCUGGCUUCUAAAGGUUCCUUCCAGCUCAAGUGAUUCUGUGAUCCUAGCAAGAUGGGGUAAUAAAGAAGGGAAUUGCCUUUUGCCCCUUCUGAGGGCACACUUACAAUCUGAGCUGACAAGCUGCAGCAAGUGCAGAAGUGCUCUGGAUCUCGCUGAUUGGCCUCCCCUGACUCACUGUUGGAGCAAAGGGAAAGUUGAGCCAACUUUCUAAAAGGGCCAGAGCGAAGCGCAUGUCUGCCAUGGUAUGAAGUUGUAAGGGAGGAAAAGCAUAUCUUGCAACAGAGAUCUGUUUGGCCAUCCUGUGACAGUGAAUUUAAAAAAGAAAGAUUGCUCGGUCCAACCAAGCGAGAAAUCGUCUGCAUUUUCCCAGAAUAUUUUUUUCAUGACUUGGUUAGCCCUACAAUUAACCCCAGGCCAAGCAUCAGAACCUCUGCUCACCAGAGGAGGAGGAACGUGGAAUAUUGCUUAUUUGAUUCUCAGAGAGAGAGAAAAGGCUGAGUGACAGAUGUGCUGAAAUGAGCAUCCUGCUUUCAGAUUUAAGGGAAUGAUGGUGCAAUGGGGUAGGCCUGAACCAGGCCAUCAGAAGUUGCAGGCAAGUUAGAGGAAAACCACAAUGAAAAGAAGUUAGCAGAAAAUGUACUGUUUUCAUUCACUGAGGAUGUCAGGAAGAGAAGAGGAAGACACAGGGUAAGUUUUGAAGCAGAAGUAGUUCUGUGCUGGAAGCAGGAACUAUCAGGCACAGCUUGCAGCAUCUGGUCCAUGUCUGUACUUAAAAUACCAUUGGCUGCAAUUAAAGCAGGUUGAUAUAGAUAUAAUCAAGACUGUGAUCUGGCAAUGUGCAUGUUUGCUGUAUGGAAAGCAAUCCAACUCUUGUGCUGUGUGUCAGGGGAAUAACUGGCUCCAUCAAGUAGAACAUCCUCCAAGAAUCGUCUCUGCUUUGACCUUCACGGGUCGUUGCUCAUCACUUAGGACUUAGCGAGGUUUUAAGAACACAGUAAUUUUUAAAGUAUCCUGCUCCCGAAAAGGAAGUAGCAACAAAAAAGCUGAAGAUGUGCCAUUCUAUCUACAGAGCUGGAAACAGAUUUCAGCUGGGUCAGCCUCUGGCAUGAGAUGUGCUAAACAGGGCCAAGAUGAAGAAUGGGAAACCGGUCCUGCUGUGUGGAAGGAAACAGACACAGUAGAAGCAAUGCAUACUGCAUUUGCUUUCGAGUAUUUCUAGGCCAGAAAGCUAAGACAUGGAUAGCAAUCCAAUCCAAUGCAGACCUAAACGGGUGUUUUAUGGCUGUGGCAUCCUUUCCAACACCAAGCAAGCUCAUUGCGAUGCUUGCUGGAACUCACUGUUGAGAGCUGGUUUCCUUGUGUGAGGUUUCUUGUUUGUUCCUCACACAGAUGCUGAUGUCAGUACAAUGCUUACUUUGAGGUCGCACCAGAGGGCAAAUCUCUCAAGCCUUCUUAUGCUAUACAACGGGUUCUUUGGGGAGAUGUUGGUCAAAACUCUUCAGAGCAGCACAAAAAUUUGGUGAAAACCUCAACUGACUCAUCCCUUCCACCCUGUUUCUGUGAAUCAACCUCAUCUGAGCAUUGAGUUAAUUAAGCAGACACAGCUGGUCUGGCUCACAGUGCCACUGGUGGGUACUUCAAAUAGCAGUAAUUUCUAUAGGGGGGAGAAAAAGGAUGCUGAAUUUUGC
rnacentral:lncRNA from 1 species